UACGCAGGGGGCUAGCGUUGCUCGGAAUCACUGGGCAUAAAGGGUGCGUAGGCGGGUCUUUAAGGCAGAGGUGAAAUCCUGGAGCUCAACUCCAGAACUGCCUUUGAUACUGAGGAUCUUGAGUCCGGGAGAGGUGAGUGGAACUGCGAGUGUAGAGGUGAAAUUCGUAGAUAUUCGCAAGAACACCAGUGGCGAAGGCGGCUCACUGGCCCGGUACUGACGCUGAGGUGCGAAAGCGUGGGGAGCAAACAGG
rnacentral:rRNA from 1 species